UCAAAACGACUCUCGGCAACGGAUAUCUCGGCUCUCGCAUCGAUGAAGAACGUAGCGAAAUGCGAUACUUGGUGUGAAUUGCAGAAUCCCGUGAACCAUCGAGUCUUUGAACGCAAGUUGCGCCCGACGCCUUCGGGCUGAGGGCACGCCUGCCUGGGUGUC
rnacentral:rRNA from 1 species